rnacentral:rRNA from 1 species
CAGGCUUAACACAUGCAAGUCGCAGGGUAACAUGAGGAAAGCUUGCUUUCCUUGAUGACGACUGGCGCACGGGUGAGUAACGCGUAUCCAACCUUCCCAUAACUACGGGAUAACCCGUUGAAAGACGGCCUAAUACCGUAUGAUAUCGUUUGCUGACAUCAAAUAACGAUUAAAGGUUUAGCGGUUAUGGAUGGGGAUGCGUCUGAUUAGCUUGUUGGCGGGGUAACGGCCCACCAAGGCUACGAUCAGUAGGGGUUCUGAGAGGAAGGUCCCCCACAUUGGAACUGAGACACGGUCCAAACUCCUACGGGAGGCAGCAGUGAGGAAUAUUGGUCAAUGGACGCAAGUCUGAACCAGCCAAGCAGCGUGCAGGAUGACGGCCCUAUGGGUUGUAAACUGCUUUUAUAUGGGGAUAAAGUGGGGAACGUGUUCUCUUUUGCAGGUACCAUAUGAAUAAGGACCGGCUAAUUCCGUGCCAGCCGCCGCGGUAAAAGGG